CCUACGGGUGGCAGCAGUGAGGAAUAUUGGUCAAUGGGCGUAAGCCUGAACCAGCCAAGUCGCGUGAGGGAUGAAGGUUCUAUGGAUCGUAAACCUCUUUUAUAUGGGAAUAAAGUGUGGGACGUGUCCUGUUUUGUAUGUACCUUAUGAAUAAGGAUCGGCUAACUCCGUGCCAGCAGCCGCGGUAAUACGGAGGAUCCGAGCGUUAUCCGGAUUUAUUGGGUUUAAGGGGUGCGUAGGCGGCGUUUUAAGUCAGCGGUGAAAGUCUGGGGCUCAACCAUAGAAUUGCCGUUGAAACUGGGAGGUAUGAGUAUGUUGGAGGCAGGCGGAAUGCGUGGGGUAGCGAUGAAAUGCUUAGA
rnacentral:rRNA from 1 species